rnacentral:rRNA from 1 species
GUCCACGCCUAACGAUGAUGACUAGUUGUUGGAGGAGUUAAUCCUUAGUAACGCAGCUAACGCGAGAAGUCAUCCGCCUGGGAGUACGGUCGCAAGAUUAAACUCAAGGAAUUGACGGGCCCGCACAAGCGGUGGAUGAUGUGGUUUAAUUCGAUGCAACGCGAAAACCUUACCUACCCUUGACAUGUCAGGAAUCCUCCAGAGAUGGAGAGUGCCCGAAAGGAGCCUGAACACAGGUGCUGCAUGGCUGUCGU